CCUGGUGGCUCAGACAGUAAAGAAUCUGCCUGCAAUGCAGGAGACCCAGGUUCGAUCCCUGGGCCAGGA
rnacentral:tRNA from 1 species